AUUGAACGCUGGCGGCAGGCCUAACACAUGCAAGUCGAGCGGAGCGGCGGACGGGUGAGUAAUGCCUAGGAAUCUGCCUGGUAGUGGGGGAUAACGUCCGGAAACGGACGCUAAUACCGCAUACUCUCAGAUGAGCCUAGGUCGGAUUGGCUAGAUGGGGGGGUAAAGGCCAACCAAGGCGACGGUCCGUACCUGGUUUGAGAGGAUGAUCAGUCACACUGGAACUGAGACACGGUCCAGACUCCUACGGGAGGCAGCAGUGGGGAAUAUUGGACAAUGGGCGAAAGCCUGAUCCAGCCAUGCCGCGUGUGUGAAGAAGGUCUUCGGAUUGUAAAGCACUUUUAGCUGGGAGGCGUUACCUACAGAAUAAGCACCGGCUAACUUCGUGCCAGCAGCCGCGGUAAUUC
rnacentral:rRNA from 1 species